rnacentral:rRNA from 1 species
CCUACGGGAGGCAGCAGUGAGGAAUAUUGGUCAAUGGGCGCGAGCCUGAACCAGCCAAGUCGCGUGAAGGAUGACUGCCCUACGGGUUGUAAACUUCUUUUAUAAAGGAAUAAAGUGCGGCACGUGUGCCUUUUUGUAUGUACCUUAUGAAUAAGGAUCGGCUAACUCCGUGCCAGCAGCCGCGGUAAUACGGAGGAUCCGAGCGUUAUCCGGAUUUAUUGGGUUUAAAGGGUGCGUAGGCGGGUUGUUAAGUCAGGUGUGAAAGUUGGCGGCUCAACCGUAAACUUGCGAUUGAUACUGGCAGUCUUGAGUGCAGUUGAGGUAGGCGGAAUUCGUGGUGUAGCGGUGAAAUGCUUAGAUAUCACGAAGAACUCCGAUUGCGAAGGCAGCUUACUAGACUGCAACUGACGUUGAGGCUCGAAAGUGUGGGUAUCAAACAGGAUUAGAUACCCCAGUAGUC